AACGUAGGUGGCGAGCGUUAUCCGGAUUUACUGGGCGUAAAGCGUGCGCAGGCGGCUAUGCAAGACAGAUGUGAAAUCCCCGGGCUCAACCUGGGAACUGCAUUUGUGACUGCAUGGCUAGAGUACGGUAGAGGGGGAUGGAAUUCCGCGUGUAGCAGUGAAAUGCGUAGAUAUGCGGAGGAACACCGAUGGCGAAGGCAAUCCCCUGGACCUGUACUGACGCUCAUGCACGAAAGCGUGGGGAGCAAACAGG
rnacentral:rRNA from 1 species